GCCCCCGUAGCUCAAUUGGUAGAGCAGUGGCCUUUUAAGCCAUUGGUUCCCCGUUCGAGUCGGGGCGGGGGUA
rnacentral:tRNA from 1 species